UCCAAGUUGGCAUGGAUGACUGGUCCAAGUCAGCGUGCAUUUAUAAAGGGGAAAUCCUGCUUGACUAAUCUUCUGGAAUUUUUUGAGAAUGUGACAAGUAAAAUGGAUGAAGGAGAGCCAGUGGAUGUAGUGUAUCUGGACUUUC